UACGUAGGGGGCAAGCGUUGUCCGGAUUUAUUGGGCGUAAAGAGCGUGUAGGCGGCUAGGUAGGUCCGUUGUGAAAACUCGAGCUCAACCUCCGAGACGCCGGUGGAAACCAUCUAGCUAGAGUCCGGAAGAGGAGAGUGGAAUUCCUGGUGUAGCGGUGAAUGACGCAGAUAUCAGGAAGAACACCCGUGGCGAAGGCGGCUCUCUGGGACGUGACUGACGCUGAGACGCGAAAGCGUGGGGAGCGAAGCAGG
rnacentral:rRNA from 1 species